rnacentral:rRNA from 1 species
UACGUAGGGUGCAAGCGUUAAUCGGAAUUACUGGGCGUAAAGCGUGCGCAGGCGGCUAUGCAAGACAGAUGUGAAAUCCCCGGGCUCAACCUGGGAACUGCAUUUGUGACUGCAUGGCUAGAGUACGGUAGAGGGGGAUGGAAUUCCGCGUGUAGCAGUGAAAUGCGUAGAUAUCUGGAGGAACACCGGUGGCGAAGGCGACAUCCUGGACCGGUAUUGACGCUGAGGCGCGAAAGCCAGGGGAGCAAACGGG